rnacentral:rRNA from 1 species
CCUACGGGAGGCAGCAGUGGGGGAUAUUGCACAAUGGGGGAAACCCUGAUGCAGCGACGCCGCGUGGGUGAAGAAGUAUUUCGGUAUGUAAAGCCCUAUCAGCAGGGAAGAAAGAUGACGGUCCCUGACUAAGAAGCCCCGGCGAACUACGUGCCAGCAGCCGCGGUACUACGUAGGGGGCGAGCGUUAUCCGGAUUCACUGGGUGUAACGGGAGCGUAGACGGCCGUGCAAGCCAGGAGUGAAAGCCCGGGGCCCAACCCCGGGACUGCUCUUGAAACUGUGCGGCUUGAGUGCGGGAGGGGCAGGCGGAAUUCGUGGUGUAGCGGUGAAAUGCGUAGAUAUCAGGAGGAACACCGACGGCGAAGGCGGCCUGCUGGACCGCGACUGACGUUGAGGCUCGAAAGCGUGGGGAGCGAACAGGAUUAGAUACCCUGGUAGUC